CCUACGGGGGGCUGCAGUGGGGAAUAUUGGACAAUGGGGGAAACCCUGAUCCAGCGACGCCGCGUGUGUGAAGAAGGCCUGCGGGUUGUAAAGCACUUUUAGUGGGGAUGAAAAGCUCAGGGCUAACACCUCUGGGUCUUGACCUAACCCAAAGAAAAAGCACCGGCUAACUCUGUGCCAGCAGCCGCGGUAAUACAGAGGGUGCGAGCGUUAAUCGGAAUUACUGGGCGUAAAGCGUGCGUAGACGGUUAUGUAAGUCGGGUGUGAAAGCCCCGGGCUCAACCUGGGAAUUGCAUUCGAGACUGCAUAGCUAGGGUGCGGAAGAGGGAAGCGGAAUUUCCGGUGUAGCGGUGAAAUGCGUAGAUAUCGGAAGGAACACCAGUGGCGAAAGCGGCUUCCUGGUCCAGCACCGACGUUCAGGCACGAAAGCGUGGGGAGCA
rnacentral:rRNA from 1 species